rnacentral:rRNA from 1 species
UACAGGGGGUGCAAACGUUGUUCGGAAUUACUGGGCGUAAAGCGCACGUAGGCGGCUUUGUAAGUUAGAGGUGAAAGCCCGGGGCUCAACUCCGGAAUUGCCUUUAAGACUGCAUCGCUAGAAUUGUGGAGAGGUAAGUGGAAUUCCGAGUGUAGAGGUGAAAUUCGUAGAUAUUCGCAAGAACACCAGUGGCGAAGGCGGCUCACUGGCCCGGUACUGACGCUGAGGUGCGAAAGCGUGGGGAGCAAACAGG